ACGUUAUAGGCAAAUUAAAAUGAUUCUAACUUACCAAUGUAACCGCUAAAAGGAAAGCACGAAAUAACUCCCGCAUAGCUGAUUCAUAUCUGACAUUCCAUAAACAUCGCAUGGAAAAGCCGUGCGACACAGAACGUUACUACAACCUUCCUGUAAACCUCUAAGCUUAAUAUCGUACUGUUGCAAAGAAUCCCAGUCCAGUCUGAAGCUGACCACUUUACCUAUGUCACCUGUGUUCACUGUACUGCUUAAUGACCAAGAAACAGGAUUUCUGGAUUGAUUGGAGCAAAAUGGCUCAGCUUUUACCAAUGUACAUGAUUGCAGGCCAGUCUAUUCAAGAUGCACUUUUGGAUGGUAUGUAGCCAACAAUCCAAGAGAGAUGGAAGGAAGUAAAAGACCACGAAAACCAAAUUGGACAGAAGAGCAGUGUUUACUUUUAGCUCAGUUAGUUGAAGAAAAGAAAGCGAUUUUAAAAGGUAAAUUUGGCUCCGGUGUCACAGCUCAAGGAAAGAGGCAGACCUGGGAGAAAAUAUCUCAGCAGAUAAACUCCUCUUUCCCUCUGGUUGUGCGCACCAGUGAGGAAUGUGAAAAGCGGUGGUAUGUGUUGCAGUCUCAAGCCAGGAGGGAGAUUGCAGCACACAAACGGGAUUCUUCAAGCACAGGUGGAGGACCACCCGCUAAACAACUGUCUCAGGUAGCGGAAACUGUAUUUAAUGUACUUGGACACUCAGAAAUAUCUGUCACUGGGCUGAAGGAAGGCACAGACAGCUCAAUGAUCCAGCUAAUGGGAAUACAACAAAGCAUGGAACCAUCAGAGGAACCGCGACCGUCAACGUCGCAGAUGUGUGACCCUCGGCCAGUGUAUCAGAUAAGCCAGCCUGCUGCAGCCACCUCAACAGCAUCC